rnacentral:lncRNA from 1 species
AGGAAAGACAGAGCAUGGCUGCUGGGCAGCCAGGUCAACCGGACGGCAAGGCAGGGGUUGGCCGGGGAAGCACUGCGCCGCCCCUGCAUGCCCUGCAUCCUCGGGUCCUGGGAGGGCUGCUCAGUAACUGGAAGGAAAAUGAAACUGAAAAAGAGCAAGGGUCCCGUAGGAUUGAACACAGUUGGUGAAACUUGGGCCGUCUGCCUCAAGUCCCCGCUUGGCAAAACCACUCCCUCCUGGUGGACGCCCUCACCAUGAAGAACAUCCCCCACUUCCCUGACCAGAUACAUCCAGAGGGGAGGCAAGUGGAGACUGGCUGUCUGUAGGGAGUGGAGAAAUGGCAGGUCCAGCUUGGGCUGGUGUCCUCUUCCUCAGAAAGUGCUGUGGGUGAACCCAGAGUCUCAGGGAGCAGAAGCCCCCCUCGCUGGCUUUCUUCACGCGGGGUCCUCGGCAAGCUGCUCUGCACUGCGGAGAACGUGCGCCUUGUCCUCAGAAGACGAGGAAGAGCAGGGCCUCAUGCCGGGGCAGUACGAUGUUCUCCACAGUGCGCUCCAUGGCGCGCACCUGCUCCGGGGAGGCUGUCAGGAACGCCAGGGGCCCGAUGCGCUGCUCCGCACAGGAGUGGCAGAGGUAGCCCCCCUUGUUUUCCUUCCUGUUGCUCUGUGGUGAUGGACAAGAGAGAGAGCUAAGGGGAACAACCAAAGAACAUGGAUUUUCCAGCAAAAAGCAUGGAGUUAUCAUCACAGCUGCCCAGGGACAACGCAUUUGGAUUCUGAUGUUUUCAGAGGGGUGCACAUCCUCAGAGUAACACCUCCCACAGCACCACCAACUAGGUGGCCUCAACACCCCCAAAUUCCCUGAGCUCAGAAACAGUCAUUUAUCCAGUCAAGAUAAAGAACCAAGAAAAGCUGCGCUGGGACCCCAGGGAACAGCUCUCUCUCUAAGCGUGUAUCACAACCCAGCCUCCCAGACCUGCGGCUUCAGCACAGCCAGGCAGCAUCACGUGCCCUGACCUCUGACCCUGGGACAGACCACACACCUCUUGUGCCUCUCAUAUGAAAAGCCCCUAAUAAAGGAUCACACAGCUCUCUCUUAUCUCCUCACCUACAACCCAGAUAAGCACAGAGCUCACAAGCAAAAAAUGCAAAUGGCUGAAUUAAGUUCCACAGACAGCAGACGUACAUAGGUGAUGGGCAGCUUCUUCAUGGUAAGGACGGUGUCAACAGGGAUGGCAUUGUUGCACUGUCCCACGCAGCAGCGCACCACGCCUGUUUUUAAGACGUUGCUUGUCAGCUCUGCUUGCAAGAAGUACUCCUGAGAAAGAAAGAGCGAGAAAGAGAGUCAUGGCGACACCUCCGUUAGGGUCUACUGGAAACACUGAUAGCGGCGGCUCUGUGAGAACCCUUUAGAUGCACUGUAAGUCCCAGAGAGAAAAACCCCGCCUAACCCGUUCUCCCUUACUUCCUCUAACUUUUCCCUGCCUCCAAAGCUAUCGACAGUCCAACUGACAGUCCAAUUGCUUUUUAAAUAUAUAUAUAUUUAACAGAUAAACAUGCAAAACUAUUGCCUGUAAUGACAUUUCCAGAAUAUUUCUGGAUUUUAUUUUAUGCUAAGGUAUCCCCAGCUCAAUCUUCAGAAAACUAUUGUGUAUUCACAUUAUAAGCCAGGCAGGCAACACAGAGGACAUGAAGAAAACUUGCCCCAAACAUCCCUGCGUAUUUCCACCGUCCCGUGCUGCUGGCUGUGCUAGUGAGCAAAUGACAGCCUCGCUAAGCCUGUGUCUUUAUCCAUAAAUGCAGAUGGCACGGUGCCUGCUUCAGGUGGCUGCUGAGGAGAAGAAACCCUUCAAUGCAUGCAAAGCACUCACGCCUGGCACGCAGGGAGCACCCAGAGGAAGCACUAGUGACCUCCCAGGCUGGAAACACCACAAGGACAGGGCACUGUCAGCUUCGCUGCUGCCCUGUGGGGCUCCACAUCACAGACUGAUAUGCUAGCAGGACCGCACACAUCUGCUGCCCAGGAAAGGACGGUUUCGUAUUUUCUGGAUUAUGACCAGCUAUUGAUCUACUUAUUCUACAAUCUGUAACCUACGUUUUGAUUUAUUUGGUCUUUUCUCUUAGACGGCCUGCCUACCAGCUAUGAAAAAGAACAGAAAACCACCAGGCAAACACUCCAGUUAUGGCCAACAAGUACUAACAGCUGACGAGGUGAAAUCCUGUCUGAAGUCACAGAUUUUGCUGAAGUCCCUUGGACUGUCAUCUCAAUUUCCUUCCCGAGAGACAGCCAAGACCAUGAACCUGGCGAGGUCCCUCCAACCCACGGUGAAAUAGCUUCUCGUUUACACGUGUCCAAGGACACAGGUCUCCUUUUAUAGAUGUCUAAUUUACAUGAAUGUUACGCUUCUGGCUUCCUCCUCACCUAGGUUUUCUAAAAUGCUGUAGAGGACUCAGUCA